CGACCAAAUCUUUGGAAUGCUCUUGUUCUUAUCCAGUUGAUGCACGGUCUAGAAGCUUACUCAUGUGCGCUCCUUCUCAUGCAAGAAGAUAUACUCAAUUUCUACUCUCUUCUAUCAGUCUUCUCACUCCUAUCUCUCAUGUCUCCUUUUCCUCCCACCAUUCCUGUCACCCACGCAGCACGCCAGAGCAGCAGUAGCUGUAGAGCUCGGCAUCAGCUCUCUUGCUGCUCACUUUGCAGCACCUCCCCGGCUCCCUAGUAACACUCUGCACCUACCAUCGAACUCUCUCAGGUUCGGUCAUCCCUGCUCCCUUGCAAAUCAGCGCCCCUCCACUCGGCUCUGCUACUGUGCCGUGCGCGCGAUUCCUCCGGCUUCCAUCGCUGCGUGCGUGCUCAUCUUCCGUCGCAUGCCACCUGCUCGAUAGAACGAGUAGUUUGAUCGUCCCCAUCUCCCCGUGGUUCGUCAUCGCCAAGUUUUCAGGUGUGUUUGUGCAGAGAUGCCAUUCAAAGUCGAUGAUCUAAUCGUCGCCACCAGCCACAAGCACCAGUUCCGUUGAACGUGAGAACGUCUUAAUCAGUUGUUGAGUUGAAAAUUGAUGUGUCGAUCUAUGGUUUGACAUAGUGUUUUCAACAUGUCUAUGUUCUGGUCGAGGCCCUAGAUAUGUGAUUGAAGAUCCUUUCUGGUGAUGAAAGUGAAAUCAGCGUGGCACUCGCCAAGCGCUCGAAAGAAGGUCUAGACUAGAGAACCAUGUCGUUUCACGUUUGUUGACUCGGUUUGGAUUAUGAGCUCCCAACAGAAGGAGUGAAGAUUCUAGAUGAAGUGGUAGCUGAAGAGGUGUUUGCUCCAGUGCCUGUUCAUCAAGUGGAUGGAGCCAUCUAACUGGUUAUUUUGAUAGAAGAAUCUAGAACCUCUUCUCUGCAACAAAAGGCAAGCCCGGUGCAUUUGCUCCUUCCUUGUGUUUUAAAUGCUUUAUCACAUUAUAUGAUGCAUUAGGUGAUUGGAGUUGGGUGAUAAACAAUUGAUGCAUUAACAUUCCAUGGAAAUUCCUGAAUCCUUGUUUUAUAAAAAGAAUUAUUACUGCUUAGAACUUAAAAAUCGUUUGUUUUUAAAAAAGAAUGAUGUGUAACACUGGUUACAGGCUUUUUGUUCAAAAAUCAAAGCAAACUUAAUGGUGAGUCCAUCAGGGCCCAGGUGGAUUCAUCAUCCGAAAAGAAUACCCCUGCCAGGUACCAAAAAUGGGAAAAUGGUUUGAAUAAAUUGAGACCAGACGCUAAGCAGAUAUGGUCGUCCAUCUGUGUCGAUUAAGGACCGUACAUUUGACUAGCCUGUUGUGGUUAAGACUUUGCAACUAGCCACAUACAUGAAGAGACAAUCGCACACUGGGAUUGGAGAGAUGGCGGGAGUAGCAUGUACCCUCCUGGCAUAGUAACACGCCUGGUAGGGUAAUGUACUCUCGGGUGGCGCGAACUUGUUCAUGUAGUGGAGGACUCCAUGGGAACGGCUCACAUAUGCAAGGGUUAAGUGCUACAUAUGUCGUGUGGUUAGAGAUCCCCAGCUGGGUAUAAUCGGUUCGAAUCGUCAUUGCUCCUCGGUUAUGGAGACUCAUCCCGGUGACCAUCAUCGUAGUUAGCAAGUGAAAUAUGAUUAUGGAUAAAAUUCAGCUACUAUAGGCCAAGUGCUUGAACUAGAUUAGGCAAAUCUAGAUUCAGGUAAAUACCUAACUUGUGAAUUAAAACUUGGCUUAGGGAUCAACUGGUAGUAAGUUUCUCUGCCAAAGGGGGUCUUUGAUAAUUGAUAAGCUUUACCUUGAGUCCCAAAUCUAGCAUACCCUUGAUAGUCUUUUUCUUUAGUCUAUUCCCUAUGUUGUUGCAGGAAGGGUUAUUGCUACCUUUAGCUCUUGAUAGUUGUUUUGUGUGGAGGUCUUGAAGAUUUUAAUACUUAGGUGUAUUUCUUCUGGAAAGGCUUCACCUUUCCCUAUUGUGUAAUAAGUUAUGCACUUUGAGUACUAUCAGGACUUGUAAUAAUUACAACUCUUUCUAUGAUGUAAAGCUUGAGAUUUGGAAUUGUAAAAUAUGUUUUGUAAAGUCUUCUGCUCUAUCUCCAAUGUAUGUAUGUAUCAAAGGUGAUUACUAUAAUAUACAUGUUUUGUGGGAGA